rnacentral:lncRNA from 1 species
GCAAUAUCAAUGUUGUUUGGAGGAUUUUUUCUAGCAUCUUCGGUUGAUUGAAAAGUUUUGAAUAAUUUGUAAAGCUUACACCUCUGCCCUUUAUUCCUAUCCUUCAUUAUUCCAAGUACAACACGCUUCACAUGAGGUUUAGAAAGGUCGAUAUCGAAGCGAGCCUAAAAAAGAAAAUCCAGCAACAUUAACUAGUUCAUGAGAAAAAAUAGCAAAAUUAUCCUAUUAAACUCUAAUCCAUGAAUUCAACUGCUACUUGCACCUUUUAUCUAAUAAAUCAUGUAUCCUAAUGAGUGUCAUUCUCCAUGGAUUUAUAGACAAGGCAUAAAACAAAUACUAAUUGCCAAAAAGGACAAAUGCAAACUCAACUAUGAAUAACAAAAUUGGUAUAAUUUAAUAUUAUGCAUCUUACUUCAACCCUUGACAAUGAUUCUUCAAUUACUCCCUC